rnacentral:rRNA from 1 species
GAUGAACGCUGGCGGCGUGCCUAAUACAUGCAAGUCGAGCGAACAGACGAGGAGCUUGCUCCUCUGACGUUAGCGGCUGACGGGUGAGUAACACGUGGAUAACCUACCUAUAAGACUGGGAUAACUUUGGGAAACCGGAGCUAAUACCGGAUAAUAUAUUGAACCGCAUGGUUCAAUAGUGAAAGACGGUUUUGCUGUCACUUAUAGAUGGAUCCGCGCCGCCUUAGCUAGUUGGUAAGGUAACGGCUUACCAAGGCGACGAUGCGUAGCCGACCUGAGAGGGUGAUCCGCCACACUGGAACUGAGACACGGGCCAGACUCCUACGGGAGGCAGCAGUAGUGAAUCUUCCGCAAUGGGCGAAAGCCUGACGGAGCAACGCCGCGUGAGUGAUGAAGGUCUUCGGAUCGUAAAACUCUGUUAUUAGGGAAGAACAAAUGUAUAAGUAACUAUGCACGUCUAGACGGUACCUAAUCAGAAAGCCACGGCUAACUACGU